rnacentral:tRNA from 1 species
AGGGAGACCAACUCAAACUUUGCCUAACUGAGUUUCAGUAGGGUAAAGACAGAGAUAUCCCAAGGUCGUGCGGGGCAAGCCAAAACAUCUUUCGCUAUCAAACUAUUAGUUGGGUUCGGCUGUGGGCUAUUAGCUCAGGUGGUUAGAGCGCGCCCCUGAUAAGGGCGAGGUCCCUGGUUCGAGUCCAGGAUGGCCCACCUCAGCUUUUUAUGCCACAAGCUAAGUAACUUGCCAGCACCUUAAGUUGCCAAUUUCUAGGCAACAGAGAAUGCUGGACGUGAAGUUCAGCCAGAACCUUGAAAACUGCAUAGCAAAAAGAAGAGAAAAAUUCUGUCUCAAGAAAGGAAACUCGUAAAGAGUGUCUAAUUGAAACAAAUUGUGGUCAAGCGACCAA